rnacentral:rRNA from 1 species
ACCUCCCCCAAUAGCUAGCCCACCUCAAAAUACAACAACCCACAUUAAUAACCCCGAACACAACAACAUCCUCAAAACAAACCAUUUUUCCGCCUAAGUAUCGGAGAUAGAAAAGGACCCCGGAGCCAUAGAAAAAGUACCGUAAGGGAAAGCUGAAAGAGAAAUGAAAAAACUCAGUUAAGGGCAAAGAAGCAGAGAUUAGACCUCGUACCUUUUGCAUCAUGACUUAGCAAGAACCCUUCAAGCAAAAUGCUUUUUAGUUUGAAACCCCGAAACUAGACGAGCUACUCCGAGGCAGCCUAAUUAUAGGGCGAACCCGUCUCUGUGGCAAAAGAGUGGGAAGACCUCCGAGUAGUGGUGACAGACCUACCGAGCCUAGUGAUAGCUGGUUGCCUGGAAAAUGAAUAGAAGUUCAGCCCUUUACAAGUCUUAAUUCCACCCCUGACCCGAUCAAUCAAAGAUAAGAAGACACCCUAAAGGAGUUAUUCAAGAGGGGAACAGCUCUCUUGAAGAAAGACACAACUUUAACAGAAGGCCAAAGAUCAAAAGACAAAAACCAAAGUACCCGAGUGGGCCUAAGAGCAGCCAUCCCAGAGAAAAGCGUUAAAGCUCAAGUACUUAAACCACUAAAUCCCGACAAAAUAUCUUAAGCCUCUCCUGCCGAACCAGGCCCCUCCAUGCCCCCAUGGAAAAGAUACUGCUAAUAUGAGUAAUAAGAGAGCUCAGCCUCUCUCCCCCGCACCUGUGUAAAUCAGAACGAACCCGCACUGACAAUUAUACGCCCCCACUUACUGAGGGAAUUGAAAUAAAACCCCUAAAACUAGAAAACCUCUCAAAACCAAGCGUUAACCCCACACAGGAGUGAGCAAGGAAAGACAAAAAGGAAGAGAAGGAACUCGGCAAACACUAGCCUCGCCUGUUUACCAAAAACAUCGCCUCUUGCCCAUCAAGUAUAAGAGGUCCCGCCUGCCCAGUGACAAUAGUUCAACGGCCGCGGUAUUUUUAACCGUGCGAAGGUAGCGUAAUCACUUGUUUCCUAAAUAGAGACCUGUAUGAAUGGCAUAACGAGGGCUAAGCUGUCUCCUCUUUCUGGUCAAUGAAAUUGAUCUGCCCGUGCAGAAGCGGGCAUGAACACAUAAGACGAGAAGACCCUGUGGAGCUUCAGACGCGAAAGCAGACCACGUUAAGAAAAUUAAUUGACUAAUAAUGAACUUAUGGCCACUGCUUUCCUGUCUUUGGUUGGGGCGACCAAGGGGAAAUAUGAAACCCCCAUGCGGAAAGGACCACACCUCCUAAGACAAGGCCCACAGGCCUAACAAGCAGAAUAUCUGUCCAACAGAGAUCCGGCCAACGCCGAUCAACGGACCGAGUUACCCCAGGGAUAACAGCGCAAUCCCCUUCUAGAGCCCAUAUCGACAAGGGGGUUUACGACCUCGAUGUUGGAUCAGGACUUCCUAAUGGCGCAGCCGCUAUUAAGGGUUCGUUUGUUCAACGAUUAAAGUCCUACGUGAUCUGAGUUCAGACCGGAGAAAUCCAGGUCGGUUUCUAUCUAUGACUCCUCCCUUUUCUAGUACGAAAGGACCGAAAAGGGGGGGCCCCUGCCCAAGGCAAGCCCCUCCCCAAACCCAUGACCCCCACUCAAGGGGGAAACGGGAGGAACACCUGCCCCGAGAAACAGGGCUA